AGAAUCAACGCUGGCGGCGUGCCUAACACAUGCAAGUCGAACGCGAGAGUCCCGCAAGGGAUGAGUAGCGUGGCAAACGGGUGAGUAACACGUGGGUGACCUGCCUUCGAGUGGGGGAUAACGUUCCGAAAGGGACGCUAAUACCGCAUGACAUCCUGCCUUUGAAGAGGCGGAGAUCAAAGCCGGGGAUCGCAAGACCUGGCGCUUGAAGAGGGGCCCGCGCCUGAUUAGCUAGUUGGUGGGGUAACGGCUCACCAAGGCAACGAUCAGUA
rnacentral:rRNA from 1 species